GGCCCAGUCCUCGCGAGAUUUCGGCCCUGACGAGAGGCUGAAGCGGCUCGGCGGCGGGUCUGGGAUGCGCUCGCAGAAGGAGGGAGAGGGGGGCCCAGGGUUGCCCGUUACUACGCGGGGUCCGAGCGGGAAGGAGAAGCCGUCGCCCACAGAAAGCCACUUCCGCCGGGAGUCUCAGCGGCGGGAGCCUGAAGCGCCAGUAGCCUGGUCCUCCGGCUGUGGGGGCGGUGCAGUCGAACCUCGCGAGGAAAAGAGGACGGUCCUCAGCAAGGUGGUCAUCCGGCGGCUUCCUCCCAGCCUCACCAAGGAGCAGCUGGAACAGCAGCUUCACCCCCUUCCUGCACACGAUUACUUCGGGCUCUUUACUGCUGAUCUCAGUCUUUAUCCUCAUCUCUAUUCAAGAGCAUACAUUAAUUUUAGAAAUCCUGAUGACAUCCUGCUUUUUAGAGAUCGUUUUGAUGGAUAUAUCUUCAUUGACAGUAAAGGCCUAGAAUAUCCUGCAGUGGUAGAAUUUGCUCCAUUCCAGAAGACAGCCAAAAAGAAGCUAAAGAAAAAAGACACCCAAGCUGGAAGCAUUGAAGAUGAUCCAGAAUAUAAGAAGUUUUUAGAAACUUACUGUGUGGAGGAGGAGAAAACUAAUGCCAAUCCUGAAACUCUUCUGGGGGACAUAGAGGCAAAGACAAGAGAACUUAUUGCUAGAAGAACCACACCUCUUUUGGAGUAUAUUAAAAGUAGAAAAUUAGAAAAGCAGAGAAUUCGAGAAGAAAAGCGAGAAGAACGGAGGAGGAGGGAGUUGGAAAGGAAGCGCUUACGGGAAGAAGAGAUAAGAAGGAGAAGGGAAGAGGAGAGACGUAAGGGGAGAGCAGCGGAAAAACAGCAGAAAACUGCUGAGAAAGAAGUAAGGAGGAAGCUUCUCAAGAAAUCAGAAAAGGGAGAGGAGUCAAGCAGUGAGAAGCCCAAAGAAAGAGGAGAGGAAAUUGACACCAGAGGUGGGAAACAGGAACUCGGUCCCAGCUGUGUAGUCGUGAAGCCCAGGCCCUUGGAGAGCUCGCUGCAGGAGCUCAGGGAAAAGACCGACCAGGCUUGCAGCUGUACCAGCCCAGAGGUGGCAUCCGAGCCCGUGAAUGUGAUGGAAGACCCCCUGAGGAGGGCCGUGACGGGAGGAGGGAUGAGGUGGAAGAUUCACCAGGGGCUGGAGCUGAGAAGAGCGAAGAGGCAGACAAGAGCAGGUGACCUUCACACUUGGGGCAGCCUGCUUGAAUCAAAAAGUACCCUCUGCCACUCCCUUCAUUGGUGCAAAGAAGACCGUUUGGAAGAGGUUGACUUCGCACUGUGACGAUUCGUUGGCCAUGCAUAAAAGAACUCAGCAGACCAGUGUCAGGUUCCUGGUAACCUUUCAUCGGCAGGACUGGAGAAAUGACCACAGGAUGGUUUGAGGAUACUGGACCCACUGUGAGAUGAACCUGAGCUGAAACUCCAUUGAUUAUCUGACCUCCAGAAGCCCCUACUCUGACUGGAGGGCCACAGUUAUGCUUGGUGUCUCCUGGAAUCAGUGUCAGUUCAGAACCAGUGUCCAGGCAUUCCUGAAGGGUCUGAUUAGUUCCUUUUGCCCAGUGCAGCCACCCUGGUAAAUGGCCAUCUGUACCUUUGGGGAAGGCUGGGAAAAAGGUUAACAGUAUACAUUUUUGGCAGUGUACUGGGAUCCUUGCUCAAGGGGACCCAGCCUCCCCUUCAUUCAAGGUCUGUGAACUGGCUCAAGUCUGGGAAAUGACUGAGGGGCCAUGACUGUUUUUAUGAUUCAAGUUGGAAUUUUGUUCACUUGACCUAGAACUCUUCCAUUUAUACAAAUCUAGUAAGAAUUUAGUAGGCUUCCCAUCCACUUCAUCUAAUCCUCCGUGUGGCCCAUGGCAAACAUUUACAAGAGAUCAGUGGGUGUUAGAAGCAAAGUUAAUUGAAAGUAUGCUCAAUCCAACUAAGCCGGUAGUUGAUCAGGAUCAAAGGGGUUGAAAUAUCAUAUUUUAUUCCAACAGCAUUUUCAGUUUUAGGGUUGAAUGUAGCAUCCAGUGUGCGGUAUUUGUAAUAACAAAUAGCAUUCCCGUGUUGCAUUAACACUAAAUUAGGUCCAAAUCAGUCCUAUAGGGUUUUUUUUUCCCUCAAUUCAUAAAAUGAAAAAAGUAGUCUUGCAAAGGUAGACUUGGAAGGUGGAGAGAACCGUGCCAGGCUUAGUAAGGGUAGGACUUUAAUAGGAAGGACUGACCAAGUAUUAUGAGGUGGGGUGAGAAGGUUAUUGAGUAAGGUGUGGUUUGCCAAUGGAAGGCCUUAAGUAACUGUACCUUAAGGGGUAAUUUUGUAUAAAGAAUGCAACAUACAAUCAGUAUUGUGGAGACCUUAUUUUGGUGUGUAAAGCGUGGGCUGGGGUUGAUACUGGAGGCCCCAGGCUAUGGAGCAGUCUACUGCACCAACGAUGAGGGCCUAGACCAGUGAGGCUGUAGCAACAGACAUGUUGCCAAAGAAACCCAACCUGGCUUGCUAUAGGCUAAGCAGAGGAAUCAAAACCCCAAUUUUCAAGCCCAGGUGUGGAAGGCAGAAUGACCCCCAAAGUACAAGAUUGCCAGAAUCUGUGAGUGUGGUAGUCUUUAUGUCAGAGAUUUAAGGUUGCUAAUUAGCUGACUUUAAAAUACAGAUCAUCCUAGAUUGUCUAGGGGCCCAAUGUAAUAACAUGGUCUUUAAGUGUAUGAGGGAAAGUCAGAGAAACAUGUGAUAACAGAAGCAGGGUCAGAGAUGCCAUGUGCUAGCUCACAGAUGCAGGAAGGGAAUCAUGCGGAGAGUGCAGGUGGCCUCUAGAAGCUGGAGAAGUGAAGGGGAUGAAUUCCCUUUAGAGCCUCCAGGAAAGAACGCAGCCCUGCUCUCACCUUGACUUCAGCCCAGUGAACUUCGUAACUUUAACAGAUCUGCAUUGUUUCAAGCCACAAAAUUUCAUGCAAUGUAUAGCAGCAAUAGGAAGUGAAUGAUCAAAAUUACAUGUGAACAGAAAGAGCUAGAUUGAGAAAGGAGACAAUUUCUGUGUUUUUUUUUUAAUCUAAGGGUGUAAUUCAUCUUAAAGAGGCACCCUUCAUCUUGUGAUGCUUGCAGAUCAGAUCUGAUUAAGCAUCAGUCUGUCUUCAUCCAAGACAAAGCUAUGGAAUCUACACCAUUAAAAACAAAAGCAGCAUCUGCCACACAGACACAUUACAAUUCACGAACUCAGAGUCAAAUUAAUGAAAACGACAUUGGCUCCCUAGAACAUAAUGGCAUCAAGGCCAUGAAUGUUGUGUAAAAAUGGUACGGUAAUUUUUAUUCCCUUUCAUGUUAUGUAAAAUCACUGGGGAGUCAUUAGAAAGUUGUAAUUUCAUAGGUAAAUAAGAAAAUGAAAAGAUAGAGAGGGUCAUAUUGAUUAGUGAGGGAUGCUAUUGUAUAGAAGGCAAAGUUACCAACGAUUAAAAAGAACGUAAACAGGUUCUAAAGUAAGGGUACAGCUAACUAACCCUUGACCUUAGAGGUAAAAGGAGAAAAAAGUGGGAAGCCACAACUGAGGUGAGCCGAGAACAUCGUGCUUUGGUCUAAAAUUAAGGCCUUAAUGCCCAGACUACACAUGCAUCACCGCUGCUUACCCUAGCGUUAAUAUCCUCUCUUAUAAAAAUAUUAUUAAAAAACCACCAUGAGAUGCCAAGUCGUAGGAUCUAGUUAGCGCCCCCUUGAGCAAAGGUAUAGGAAGGACUCUGUGAGAAGUCUGCACCGGAAAGUGUGAAGUCCUAAGAAUCUGUUGCAUGUUGUUACAUAUGCUCAAGCAUGGUUGCUCUGACUGCAGGCUUCAAAAGGGGUUCUGGGCACUGGAGGCCCGUUGUUCUACCCAUCAUUUUAAUCAAGUCAGUAUACAAGACGGAUAUGGCCAGGAUAUCUUACCUCUCCUACUUGCUGGCAUCAUGCCUAGAAGCAAACUCCAGAACUGGAAGCUUGUUGUCAAGGUGCCCAGUAUAAACCAACAAUCCCAUCAACCAGUACCUUGCCUGCCAGACUGUGCUCUCCAAACAAGUGACAGGUCUGAAGCUUGUAAGGUCUUCCCAGCAUUAUCUAAACAUUGUCUUCCCAAUUGGCAUAUGCAUUUGGAUGCCAUGAAUAAAGCGCUCCUUGUUCAGGUGUCUGGGAACACCUUGAUAAAAGCCAGUAUCUCAACCCCGGCCGUGUAUCAGAGUCCUUAUGGCACUAAAUGCUUCCCAUUGUUUAAAUGAAGCACUCAGGACUGACCACCACUGAGAUUAAAUGACCUUUAAUGGGCUAAUGUGGAUUAAUGAGAAUUUUCAUAGAGAGCCUAAUGUAGCCAGGCCUCUGUAUCCUUGGUUUCCACAUUCAUGGAUUCAACCAAUCACAGAUCAGAAAUAUUAGAAAAAAAUUUCCAGAAAGUUCCAAAAGGCAAAACUUGAACUUGCCACUUGCUGGCGACUGUUUAUAUAGCAUUUACAUUGUAUCAGGCGCUAUGAGUAAUCUGGAGAUGAUUUAAAGCAUAUGGGAGGACAUGUGUAGGUUAUAUGCAAUCUGCAGGGGGUCCUGGAACUGAUUCCCUGUGGACACCAAGGGAUGACUGUACAGUGUUUCCCUUAACCUACCUGACCACAGAACUCUGAGAAAACCGAGCUCAGAAAAUGCUGCUCCAAGUAUGAAAAUUAGUAUGCUAAAAACAAGUGGAAAUAGGAAAGAAUAACGGAAUUUGGUAUCAUACAAUGAAAGUUACACAAAAGAAAACACACAUGAAUAUGUUGCUAACAUGAAAGCCUUUGUUUUUAAUUUGAUUGAUACACAUUUGACAAAAUAUUUUAGAAUAAAAUAAUCCAUUAACAGGCACAAGGUAUUUACAGUAACAACUGUGAAAAACAUAAAACUGAUGUACUCUUAAACAGUAAUGUCUAUUUAUAAAAUUUUUUGUUGUGAAUCCGGAAGACUUUCAUUUCUGCUCCUUACCCUGGUCUGAAGCCCCGACAGAUGGUGCGGAAGGCCCAGGAGUAGGAGGUGCAACCCUGACACAUUUGGCAAAUAAGGAUCAUCUAUUGGUUUGAGCUCACGGGGAAGUGAAGGGCCAGAUCUUGGGGUAAGGUCCAGAAUGGAAGACUCCAAAGGAAACAACUAAAGACAAGGCCUAAAAUCACACUCAUGUUUCUCAGUUUCCUACAGGAGAAGGCUGCAAACUAUUUUUUAAACGGACUCAAUUUCCCCUCUUUUAGCAGAAAAUCAGCAACCCUGAGACUCCAAUCUUCCAUAAUAUAAAAGUUAAUAAACACCUAGAAGGGGUUCAAGAUUUAAAAAUAACUUUAUAUGACCAAAUAGAAACUUUAAAAUAAUUUUUAUGAUGUGAAAAUACUUGAGAACAAAAUAUCUCAAAAUUUUCAUGCCUAAUUCUUAAACAUUCUAACGAAUAAUUUCCAAUGUCUGAAAUUAGUUGCACAAAAAGAUACACUUUAACUAGAUGUUUUAAAUUGAGUACAACUUGCUCUUGAUUGUUAAAUGGAAUGCCUACCUCUUCAUAUUAUUCAAAUAUACUGAAAUUAAUUUUACCCAUCUGGAAUAUACAAUAUGAAUUUACUGACUUACACGACAACCACAUAAACAAAGAUCAAGAAAAAAAUAACCAAACGCUUAUGCUUUGUAACACUACUGAGACACAGUACACCAUACAUGUCAACAUCUACUGAUCCAACUAGGCUAUUUAACUAUACUUUCAACAAUGGGUUCAAUAAACAACUCUGUAGAGCAUAUAUCCACACUGUAUUUAAAAAUCAAAUUUGCUGCUCCUCCAGUGGAGGUUCCAGAGCUUCCAUUAGCUUUUUAUUUGCCUCUUCAUUAUGCCGGCUUUGACAAUGAGUUAAAUGUUUCUUAAAGCCUCUUGGAAAAUUUGACUCAAAAUUACAACGUGGACAUUUAAGUAAACUUUGCCCAUGAGCUGCUACAUGAUUUUUAAGGAGAGAUUCCAAAAGGAAAGCCUUUCCACAAAUUGUACAUUUGUAGGGACUGUGGACAUUAUGCUUGUUAACCAAAUGAUGCAAAACAGCACCUUUUUUCAUAGCACGACAGCAACAGAUUUUGCAGUAAUACUUUCCUUUUCCACGCUUCAUGUAUUUUGCAAUCUCCUCUUCAGAGAUAAAAGCCUCUUUUUCUUCAGUAAACUGCAGUACAUUCUUGGACUGCUCUGGACUAGUCAUGUCUAUUUUGUUCUCUUUACUAAAAUCAAUCGAUUCCACGUCAACCUGCUCUUGAUCACUGCUCGAUUCUUGGCCCUUACUAUCUAUCGCAUCCAGAUCUGCUUUUAUAUACUCACUGCUACUAAGCUCAGCAUCCGAGUUCUCUUGGUUGUCUUUCUUGAGCUUCUUUGAGGAAGGAAAUAAAGUGUCUUCUAAGAGUUUCUUAGGUGUAGCUAGUAGUUCUUCCUGAACCAAAACAUCACACUUUUGAUCGUCUAUGGCAUCUGCCUGUAGUUCAUCACCAAGCUCAACUGCCUUCUGAGAUUCUGAGAAGACAGCAGCUUUGGGAAGUUCGGGGAAAAGGGCAUGUUUCCGGGGCUCUGGAAAAAGAGCACGUUUUCGUGGUUCAGGAGAAGCACGAGAGGCUGUUUUGGUAGGCUCAGAAAACAGGGCAGGUUUUCUAGGCUCAGUAUCAAUAGAGAGAACAGGCUUCCAGAUAUCAGAGGAAGCUUUAGGGGACUCAGAUGGCCCAGAAGGACCUGGUUUCCGGGUCUCAGGGAAGACAGGUUUCUGAGGUUCAAUAAAAAAGGAAGACUUCCAGAGAUCAGGGGAACCACCACGGGAACUCUUCUGGGACUCAGAAAAAUCAAGUGAAGCAGGAGAAGUUUUCCGCUGAUCAGGGGAAAGCUUCCAAAGCUCUGGAGACCCUGAGGGUUUUCUGAGCUCUGGAGAUCCCGCUGGACUACGGAUCUCUGGGGACAGUGGUGGGCCUGGUUUGCGAAGCUCAGGAGACAAGGGAGGUCCUGAUUUACGGAGCUCAGGAGACACUGGAGGAACUGUCUUCCAGUGUUCAGGUGACAAGGUGGGCGCUGUCUUUCGGAGUUCUGGUGGGCCAGACUUCCAUGACUCAGGAGAUGCGGGGGGAGAUUUCCAGGAACCAGGUGAGACUGAUGAAGACUUCCAGGACGCAGGGGACAUGGAUGGAGUUGGUUUCCAAGGUCCAGGUGAUAUAGAAGGAAUUGGUUUCCAAGGUCCAGGAGACACAGAUGGAGCAGGUUUAGCUGGCUUCCAAGGUCCUGAUGAUGCUGACGGACUGGACUUCCAAGACCUGGGAGACCCAGGUGGCCCUGGCUUCCAAGAACCUGGUGACACAGCUGGGGCUGGUCUCCGAGGCUCUGGGGACACAGCAGGGAAUGGCUUCCAAGGUUCAGGAGACUCCGAUGGGGACAGCUUCCUUGGCUCAGGGGAGACAGUCCGGACCGGCUUCCGAGACUCUGGAGACGCUGUUGGGGAAGGUCCCCAAGGUUCAGGGGAGGCAGCCAGAACUGGUGAGUCUGGAGAUGAGGCUGAAGGUGGCCCCAAUGUUUCUGGGAAAUGAGAGUGUUUCUGGGGUUUGGGAUUAGUAAGAGUUGCCUUCACUGGCUCAGGAGAUACGGGAGCAAGUUUCUGUGGUUCUGGAGAAGGAACAGGGACUGGUUUCUGAGAUUCAGAAACAAGAGGGACUGGUUUUGGAAGUUCAGGAGAAGAAACAGGGGCAGGUUUCGGAGGCUCGGGAGAAGGAAGAGAAGGUGUCUGUGGCUCAGGAGAAACAACAGGGCCAGGUUUCUGAGAGUCCAGGGAAGUAAGAGGAGUAGAUUUUGGUGAUUCUGGAGACAUAACUGGGCCAAAUUUCUGUGUUUCUAUGGAAAGGGCAGGUAUAGGUUUCAGGAGUUCUGCUGAAUUAGAGGCCAUUUUCUGGUGUUCAGGAACAGAAGGGCUUUUCACAGGAUCUGCUUCUUUGUUUAACUGAUUUUUUGGUUUCUCAUUCCAUUUCUCUGGGGCUGAAUGUUUGGAUGUGAUGUGAUAGUAUACAUUAGAGUACAUCUUGCUGGUGAAAAAGCAUUUAUGGCAGUGAAAUAGCUUUGCACUUUUCUGGUAAAAUAUCAUUUUACCUAACCCACCAGCAUCCAUUUCAUCACAGAAUUCUGGAUGGAUGGUACCCAUGUGGAUUUGUACAUUUUCAUAAUCCGUGCCUCUGAAAUUGCAGUGGUCACACUCCAAACGUGCCGAUGGCUUACGAAGUUCCUGGAAUACUUCCAUUUUUCUAACAUACACGAUUGUAUUCUUUAAAAACAGUGCUGCAAUAAAGCAGAAAUAAAUGAUUUUCAGAGAACGUUUUUGAAUAAAAUGCUGUUUCUAGUCCAUUCUUACUUGCAUAAGUCUAGAAUGGCACGUGCAUCUAUUAGAUAAUAUCUCUAUAAAGAUUUUGAAGAGAUGGGAAAAAUAAUAAUUAAUUUUAAACUGAGUCCCAGGAACUCUGCUAUUUUUACAUACAUCAUCUCAUUUAACACUCCUAACAACAUGACUCAAAUAUUACUUUCAUUUACAGAUGAAGAAAUUAAUGUUCAAAGAAACGACUUACCCAGGUUACAGGACUAUCAGGGACCCAAGCUUCACUCCAGAAUUAUCUAUUGCAUGUGCCUUACACUUUGACUCUAAAACCGCGAAUCAACAAGCUGUCAGUACGCAAAGCUGAGUAAAUAUCAAAGCUAAAGCUAGGCUAUUAAGGCAGAGCAAGAAACUUUAGGUCCAUUUCAGAAAGCACUUGUUAAACUAAUCUAACAUGAAAAGACAGCUUUAAAAAAAAGUCAACAUAUCUUGUAAUGUUUUAUCCAUCCUAAUAUACUUUAUCCAUUCAUUUAAUAAAUUAAUUAUUUUGUGCCCCAUGCUUUUCUAGGCGCUUGGGUUUAAAGGCGUGUCUUGCAAUAUGGUGCUUAUAUCAAUUGGGGAGGUAAGAAUGUGGAGGGCAGCACAGGAAGGCACUCAAGCAGAGAUCCUGAAUGAUGCGAUGGAGUGUGCCACAAACGGCAAUUCAGAUGGAGGACACACUUGAGGCAACUUGCUUGCCAGAAAACAAGACUUUUAAACUUUUAAGCUAGCCUUGUUAAGGUGGUAAAAGUAACAGAAGCUCACAGUUAAAAACAUACUCAUUCACGCAGUACAAGGUACUCACAUAGUAUCACUCCCCAGGGGUAGCCACUGUACUUAUGUGUCACCGAAGAGAAUGUCUAUGUUUACACAUUCUACACAAAUGAGAUAUUAAGCAUAUUUUUCUGCAACGAGCGCUCAUUUAAGGAAGAGAAGGUGUCUGUGGCUCAGGAGAAACAACAGGGCCAGACUCCAGGGAAGUGAGAGGUACAUGUUUUGGUGAUUCUGGAAACAACUGGGCCAGGUUUCUGUGUUUCUAUAGUAAGGGCAGAUACAGGUUUCAGGAGUUCUGUUGAAUUAGAAGGCAUUUUCUAGGAUAUUUUUACAUACAGAGUAAGCACUGAAUUUCCUUUGAAUGUGAGAGUAUUUCUGAAAGGGAAAUUCCUAGAAAUGGAUUACCUGGUUCAAAGGCUAUUUGCAAUUGAAACUGACAUUUUACCAAACUCUCAAAAAGUUGUUGUACUAUUACACACCAACCAAGAAUGUUGAUGUGAAGACUAAUUCCCCAGCUCCCUCAGCAUCAGAGUAUCAUUAAACUUCGAAUCCUUUCUACUUCUUAGGUGAAAACUGAUAUCUCACUAGUGUUUUAAUGUAGUUUAAUGACAAAGACUGAAUAUUUCCCCUUGUUUAUUAGCCAUGUGUAUUUCUUUUUUUUUUUUUUUGCGGUAUGCGGGCCUCUCACUGCUGUGGCCUCUCCCGUUGCAGAGCACAGGCUCCGGACGCGCAGGCUCAGUGGCCAUGGCUCGCGGGCCCAGCCGCUCUGCGGCAUGUGGGAUCUUCCGGGAUCGGGGCACGAACCCAUGUCCCCUGUGUCGGCAGGCGGACUCCCAACCACUGCGCCACCAGGGAAGCCCAGCCAUGUGUAUUUCUUUUUCUAGGGUGUGCUUUGCCCAUUUUUCCUAAUUAUUUGUAAAUAGUCUUUGUAUGUGAAAGAAGUCAGUCCUUUUAUGGAAACUAUCUUCUCACUUUAUUAUUUGUCUCGACUUUAUGAUUUUUUUUUUUGCUACAUACAGUUGGUUUACAUAAAAAUUAAAAACUUAAAAGUGC